CUAAUCGCGUAGCUGAUUGGCUAUUUAAUAAAUCAGAUAUUUUCACGAAAAGAAAUGAAAACACGUUUGACUCAACCCGCGUAACGUAUCACGGCAUUUGGUACUCUUCGAAGGAAGAACUGUUUUUAAUGAGCGGAAUUUCAGUCCGGAACAUUGUCGUGUCGCACACGACAACAAAAAUACGGAAGAAGUACGAAAUCAGCUGACAUAACUCGCGUACAGCUGCAUUGUGUUAUCAGUUUAGCCACCUUUCAUGAUGGAGGACCAGGAGAUGCAACUGAAGGUCAGACGAGUGUCUGAUAAAUUCACGGAGAGCAUGUACGUCCUGGCUAACGAGCCGUCAGUGGCUCUCUACAGACUGCAGGAACACGUCAGAAGGUCCCUGCCUGAGCUGGUGCAGCACAAGACAGACAUGCAGAGCUGGGAGGAGCAGAGUCAAGGAGCCAUCUACACUGUAGAGUAUGCAUGCAGUGCCGUGAAGAGCAUGACGAACAGCAGCAUGUAUUUCAAAAACAUUGACAGCCUCCUCCGUCAAGCCAUCAGCAUGAAGGAACAGAUUAGCAGCUCUCAAGGACGCAGACACCUGCAUGGAGCUUACGUGAUGUGACCCCCUCUCCCAGUCCCCUUGUCUCUGCUCCACAUGCCCCACCCACUUCCUCAUAACCUCUGGACUGAGGUGUCCAAGGAAAAGGACUAUGGACUCUGGAAUGUUAAAGGAAGCGGGAGAAAAACACAGCUCUGGGAUGUGACGUGACCUCCCUGAGUUGGAGGUGUUGCUUCAGCAGUCCCUUGCACUACUACUUCUCGAUUGAGGCUGAAGGGGGGCCAUAAGCGCGACACCUCCUCAUCACAAUGGAGUGACUUCCUCCAGUGACCCCCACAGUGCAAGCCGCUGAGUGGAACAGCACACCGCAGCGCUGCCAUGUUCAGAAUUAAAAACACUUAAGUCAUGGACGCUGCUCAAAGAAUGCAUUGUUCUCUUGGACUCGCCGGAGGGACCAGAGAGAAAGCAGCCGUGCUGGCUUUGCCUCUGUUGUUGAAAAUCCACCUCACCGCCAGUGUUUGGACACUAGUUUUCAGGUUUUUGUGAGUUUGUUGUGAAAAGCUGAAGACUAAAAUGUACCCUGCAUGCAAAUUAUACAAGCUUAACACACAUAGAAGAGGAAAGGCUAUAACAGGUGGCCAAUUCUGACCUGUAUUUCAGGAUUUAACAUCUGUACAUGUCAGAUUAGGCAACAUGUUCUUAAAGAGAAAAUCCAGAAUCUUACAAGUUAAGAAAAUCUUAAGUUUCACUCUUUUCUUACCUGCCAAAUAGACACAAACCCCCAGGCAGAACAGUCCAAUAGCCACAUGUCGCACAGCUCUGCUGUCCAGAAGAAACCAGUCUGCUCUGUGGAAACAAAUGUCAGAUGUUCAAUGUCAUGGCUCAGGCAUGUUGACACGGUAACAUUGCUAUUGCAGUUUUCUCAUUUGUGCAUAAAUGAAGACAACUUUCUGCAACAUAAUUUCUGUGUCGACACAUUUCUUAUGUUUCAGUUCAUUGCACCUUUUUUGAUAUACAAUCAAACAUUUGUUGGUCAUUCCCCUGAUAAGUUUGGAUAUCAGAACUGUGAAUGCUAAAACGUUUGAUGAGUGAUUUAUUUGGGUGUCUUUAAACACUAGAUAUUUCUUACAGCUCAUUAUUAUUCACAUUUUCUUGGAAUGUCCCCUCUGUCAGUAGGGAGGUCCUGGGGUGUGCUGUUGGAUUUGUAAACCGACGUGGGAAAGGGCCAGCUAGAGGCCGUGUGCUGGGUGCAUAAUGAGAGGAAGGCCAUUGUUUGGAAGGGAUUCGUAGGGUUUGAGAGGUGGGGGUCGACCAACAACACUGCAGCGAGGGCCUCUGCACUCUGACACAGAAAGAAGGCCCUUUUAUGCUUCUGAAACUAUGUUUUCUUUUAAUGAAACUUCAAAAUGGCCAACCAGGAUCUGCUGUGGUUAACAGAGAACAAUUAAAGAAGAUUGUGUGGGCUCAGGCAGAAACGCACACUAAACUGAUUAUAUGUUGUUUUCCACUCACAGCAACAGAGUUGCACACCGCUUACCAGAAAACUGAGCAUAUGCAGGAUGUAAUGCAAUGCAGUGCUGUAGCCUUGAAAGAAGUAUUACCUUCCUUAAAAUGCAAUUCUAGAAGGCAUUCAUUCAAUCUGGAUUAUUAUUUGAGGCUGAGACAGAGGUGGUGUUUUAUGGUGAAAGUUGUGACACAGUAUUUUUAAUUUCUCAUUUACGUAAACAGACAAACGCACACCGCAGACCACAGCCUCUCAAUCAGAUUAUACUAGACGUAGCGUCCCUCCAGCAUAAUGUCAACCACAGUUAAACAUUAAGCCGUUAAAUAACAAUUACUAUUCCAGGGUUGUUGUGUUGAAUUACAUCACGUCAUUCAUUUCACUUGAACAAGUACGUCAAGUGGAAGUAUGUAACUUAUGUUUAACAGUAGCACAACAAGUAAACUGCUGAUGACUGUUACAUAACACAUCUG